GAGACAUAUGUUGAAUUGAAUCAUUCGAGCAGCGGACGGGUGAGUAAAGCACAAGGACUUGUCCGAAAGAGAGGGACACCUGCGGGAAACCGGAGCUAAUACCUCAUAAGCCGGAAGGUGAAAAGCAGAGAUGCGCUUUUGGAGAGACUUGUGUCCUAUCAGGCAGUUGGUGAGGUGAAAGCUCACCAAACCGAAGACGGGUAGCCGGACUGAGAGGUCGACCGGCCACAUUGGAACUGAGAGACGGUCCAGACUCCUACGGGAGGCAGCAGUGGGGAAUAUUGGGCAAUGGGCGGAAGCCUGACCCAGCGACGCCGCGUGAGGGAAGACAGCCUUCGGGUUGUAAACCUCUGUUGCAGGGGAAGAAGGAAGUGACGGUACCCUGCGAGGAAGCUCCGGCUAACUACGUGCCAGCAGCCGCGGUAAUACGUAGGGAGCGAGCGUUGUCCGGAAUUACUGGGCGUAAAGGGCGCGUAGGCGGCGCUUCAAGUCGUCUGUCAAAUGGAAGGGCUUAACCCUUUUUCGCAGACGAAACUGGAGAGCUUGAGAAGCAGAGAGGCAAACAGAAUUCCUGGUGUAGCGGUGAAAUGCGUAGAUAUCAGGAGAAUACCAGUGGCGAAGGCGGUUUGCUGGCUGCAUACUGACGCUGAAGCGCGAAAGCCAGGGGAGCGAACGGGAUUAGAUACCCCGGUAGUCCUGGCAGUAAACGAUGUAUGCUG
rnacentral:rRNA from 1 species